AAUGAACGCUGGCGGCAUGCCCAACACAUGCAAGCCGAACGAAGGCUUCGGCCUUAGUGGCGCACGGGUGCGCAACGCGUGGGAAUCUGCCCUCAGGUUCGGAAUAACAGCGAGAAAUUGCUGCUAAUACCGGAUGAUAUCGCGAGAUCAAAGAUUUAUCGCCUGAGGAUGAGCCCGCGUAGGAUUAGCUGGUUGGUGUGGUAAAGGCGCACCAAGGCGACGAUCCUUAGCUGGUCUGAGAGGAUGAUCAGCCACACUGGGACUGAGACACGGCCCAGACUCCUACGGGAGGCAGCAGUGGGGAAUAUUGGACAAUGGGCGAAAGCCUGAUCCAGCAAUGCCGCGUGAGUGAUGAAGGCCUUAGGGUUGUAAAGCUCUUUUACCCGGGAUGAUAAUGACAGUACCGGGAGAAUAAGCUCCGGCUAACUCCGUGCCAGCCGCCGCAGUAA
rnacentral:rRNA from 1 species